rnacentral:misc_RNA from 1 species
GAUGAAGAACGCAGCGAAUUGCGAUAUGUAAUGUGAAUUGCAGAAUUCAGUGAAUCAUCGAAUCUUUGAACGCAUAUUGCGUCCUCUGGUAUUCCGGAGGGUAUGCCUGUUUGAGUGCCAUUAAUAUGUCAACAACAGACGAGUUUUUUUCAGGACUUGCUCUGUUUGUUGGGUUGCUGAAGGUCUGCUGGCAAAGAAUUUUCAUUGUCAGCUCCUUUUAAAUUCAUUAGCAGGAUCAGCAAUUGGCUUCAGUUUGAUAAGAUUGAACUGCUGCCUGGAUUGCACCCAAUGUUUCCAGCUUCUAAAAGUGGUCCGCUUCAAUGCAGGACUGCCUCAAUUUUGAGGCAAUCAUUUUGAUAAACUUGGCCUCAAAUCAGGUAGGACUACCCGCUGAACUUAAGCAUAUCAAUAAGCGGAGGA